rnacentral:lncRNA from 1 species
ACGCCAGCCGCAUCGAGCCGGAGGCAACCGGUCCGGUUAUUUUUUCCAUUAGUGUCGCCACCGUCAGAUACACCGGCGGCGAUGGUGUUCUGAUGAAAAAUGACCUCGGCGGCGAGGUGAACGGGAUGACGUUUGAUGCUGCUUCAAGGUAUGUUCCUGAUUCUGUAAUUCCGGCUACUUGAAUUAGAGACUGCUCCAAUGGCAUCGGCGCUAAAAUGGAAAUUCCGUUUCUAGGGUUGUCGUAGAGGUAAUGGCCGACGUAGGGUAAAUGAUGAGCUACUGGAAUGCCCCAAGAUGAGAGAUAUGGACGCGAUCCGAUUCCACUGAGUAACAGUAAUUGCGGACUUCCGAUUGCGCCUGCUGAUAAGAAUACUUCUCCAC